UUUCGGAAUGUGUGGGUGUCAGAAUAAGUUUAAUACUUUCCUGACAUGAUUAAACAUUAAUUAAAUUUACUGGCUCGAUAUUCAGGUCAGAACAGCAUUUUAACACGUAUUUUGUGAGUGUUUUUCUGAGUGUGUUCAAUUGCGAAUCCCCAUUGAACAUGCAUGAACAUCCGGGAACUUCGUCAGUAUUUUGCCUGGUUAGGAGGCGUAAUGUCGCUGUCCAUGAAGGGACAAUCAAUUCACGUAUGCAGGAAAGAGAC